GACGAACGCUGGCGGCGUGCUUAACACAUGCAAGUCGAACGGAAAGGCCUUCAGCUUGCUGCGUGUACUCGAGUGGCGAACGGGUGAGUAACACGUGGGUGAUCUGCCUUGCACUUCGGGAUAAGCUUGGGGAACUGGGUCUAAUACCGGAUAGGACAGCUGUUUAGUGUCAGUUGUGGAAAGUUGUUUCGGUGCAAGAUGAGCUCGCGGCCUAUCAGCUUGUUGGUGGGGUAAUGGCCUACCAAGGCGUCGACGGGUAGCCGGCCUGAGAGGGUGUACGGCCACAUUGGGACUGAGAUACGGCCCAGACUCCUACGGGAGGCAGAAGUGGGGAAUAUUGCACAAUGGGCGGAAGCCUGAUGCAGAGACGCCGCGUGGGGGAUGAAGGCCUUCGGGUUGUAAACUCCUUUCGACAGGGACGAAGCUUUUGUGACGGUACCUGUAUAAGAAGCACCGGCUAACUACGUG
rnacentral:rRNA from 1 species